UUAGAUAAACAAAACAACUGCCCUUUUAAUUUUCUGAAUAUCAUAUGUACAUACACAAUCACAUUGAUUCUAUAAAGCCUCUCCAUCAUAUCUCUGGUCGUAAUUUAGUUACAGGUUAGUUUAUAAAAUAUGACCUUUUAGAUUUCCAAAUUAGAGUUGACCCCUUGAAAUAUAUAUAUUUUUAUCAAUAUGUUUUAAUGAAGCAUGCAGUAUGAUUUCUGAAUACACUCACUGAGCACUUUAUUAGGAACCUACUUAUUAAUGUAGACAUGUAUUAAUUAUCAAAUCAACCAAUUGUGUGGCAGCAGUACAAUGCAUACGAUCAUGUAGAUACAGUUCAGGAGUUCAGUUAAUAUUCACAUCAACCACCAGCUUGGGGAAAAAAUGUGAUCUCAGUGACUCUGACCAUGGAAUGAUUGUUGGUGCCAGACAGGGUGAUUUCAGUAUCUCAGAAUGUGCUGGUCUCCUGGGAUUUUCACACAAAACAAAAAACAAAAAACAAAAAACAAAAAACAUCUAGUGAGCAGCAGUUCUGUGUGUCCUAAUUUAAAUGACUGAGACGCAGGUGACACUCCUGCAUGACGAGCUGUCAUAUCCAGCAAAACAAAAGUGACUUGUCAUCCGGGGGCCAGUCAUGUCAGUUUGGGAAAUGAAGAAAGCUGGUGGUAUCGCAUAAAUUAUUUAAAACUAUUGCGACAAGGACAGUAUUUUUGCAAUGAUUCAAGUCCUUACGAUCUUUUGAGUUGUUUAUGCUUUCAACACAGUGGGAACUCAUAGUCACAGUAAUACUAUUUUUUAUGAAAAAUGUAGUCAAAGUCCCAAAAUCAAACAUAAGACACCACCUCCAUACCAUCAGGCUCCUUGGAAGGGUUGUACGAAGAACGCCCUUACUGAGAGCAACCAACAAAUUCAAGUGUCUGGAGUUUGCGAAACGUCAUUGGAACUAUGACUGGAAUAGGAUGCUAUGGUCAGAUGAGACCAAAAUUGAACUUUUUGGCCAUGUACACAGUCAGCAUUUUUGGCAUCAAAAAAGGGAUGCAUGCCAGGAAAAGCACCUCAUACCUACCGUCAAAUAUGGUGGUGAAUCAUUGAUGCUUUGGGGCUGUUUUGCUGCCAGUGGUCCAGGGGCUCUUGUUAAGAUCAAUGGCAUAAUGACUUCCACCAAGUACCAGGACAUUUUAGCUAAAAACCUUGUUGCCUCUGCCAGGAAGUUGAGACUUGGCCAUGGGUGGACCUUCCAACAAGACAAUGACCCCAAACAUACUUCACAAUCAACACAGAAAUGCUUCCAUGAAAACAAAAUCACUGUUUUGCAAUGGUCAUCUCAGUCUCUGGACGUCAAAAACAUGUGGUCUGAAUUGAAGAGGGCAGUCCAUAAGCGCAAACCUAAGGAUAUGAAGGAUCUUGAAAGGUUCUGCAUGGAGGAAUUGUCCAAGAGCCCUGAAAAGCUAAAAGUCUUUAUCUCUCCUUGUAUGUGUGUGUGUGUGUGUGUAUCUGUGAUUAAGUCAAAGUAGCAUGCAGUAUGCCAACAGCUCUGUGAUUGGUUAAGUGAUCACAGGACUUUCACUUUCAUUUUUUCUUGACUUCAGUGGCUGAAGCACAGAAGAUAUUGCGACAGGAGAUGAUAUCUGCAUCUAAGGGGAAUACUGUUGAAUUUUCCUGUGAAAUCUUAGGCAUGAGUUCGAGUGAUUAUAUCCACUGGUACCAUAAGGAAGAAGGGGGAACUUUGAAACGAGUGCUCUGCAUUGGUACUAUUGAAAAAGGCAUGAAGUAUGGUCUAAACACAUACACAAUCACAUUGAUUCUAUAAAGCCCCUCCAUGAUAUCUCUGGUCGUAAUUUAGUUACAGGUUAGUUUAUAAAAUAUGACCUUUUAGAUUUCCAAAUUAUAGUUGACCCCUUGAAAAAAAGAAAUUUUUAAAUCAAUAUUUUUUCAUGAAGCAUACAGUAUGAUUUCUGAAUACACUCACUGAGCACUUUAUUAGGAACCUACUUAUUAAUGUGAUUAUCAAAUCAACCAAUUGUGUGGCAGCAGUACAAUGCAUACAAUCAUGCAGAUACGGUUCAGCAGCUUUUGUUAAUCUUCACAUCAACCACCAGCAUGGGGGAAAAAUGUGAUCUAAGUGACUUUGACCAUGGAAUGAUUGUUGGUGCCAGACAGGGUGAUUUCAGUACUUCAGAAACUGCUGGUCUCCUGGGAUUUUCACACAAAACAAAGAAAUGGUGCGAAAAACCCCCCCGAAAAAAACAUCUAGUGAGCAGCAGUUCUGUGUGUCCUAAUUUAAAUGACUGAGACGCAGGUGACACACAAAAGUGACUGGUCAUCCGGGGGCCAGUCAUGUCAGUUUGGGAAAUGAAGAAGGCUGGUGGUAUCAGAUAAAUUAUUUAAAACUAUUGCGACAAGGACAGUAUUUUUGCAAUGAUUCGAACGACUUCGAAAAACUGUCUUUAGAGUUAUUUAUGCUUUCAACACAGUGGGAACUCAUAGUCACAGGUAAGCAUAAGCAUCCUUCUUUCAUUACUGCAAGUUAAUAGUUUCUAUGUUCUUGCAUUGUUGUAUUAUGUCUGUUUUGGCAAUGCUAUGAGCAGCAGUGGGACCUUGGUGCUCAGAUUUUAGGAACUGGUACAAAGCUUACAGUAACAGAUAUGUUUUAUUUUCACAUUAGCUGCUAUGGUCAAUUAUCAAUUGUUGAAUCAACUAUUUAAUAUCUAGCUAGUAACAUUUUUGAGCCACUGUUUGACUUUUUUUAAAGCUAAAUGAGAAUGCGAGAUAUAAACAUAUAAAGCAGUAGCUAUCUGUGCAACAAAUGUUUGAACAGACCGUUAAGCCAUAACUAUGUUAAAUUGCAUUGUCCUUACAAAAUUAAAUUCAUUAUACAGUGUAGAAGAAUUCCAGAAUGGACAAAUUGAUAAUAAUAAAAAUAAAAAAACAUAUAACAUAGCUUGGACACUAUGUUGGGUAACCGUGGAAAGAAUUCAUACAUUUGUUUGGUUCUGUAACAAAAUUUGUCAAGACUAACAUGCGUAUGACAAGCAACAUUUUACUAUAAUUCAUUGCAUGCUGACAUUCUGUAGCUAUAUUCAUGAUUGGGUGUAAACUGAGGAAAGAGUAUGAAUUAAUCUGUUAUUCGCUGUUUUGAUCAUUAGUAUGUAACAGGUAUUUUAGGGUGGAAGAGAAUGUGGAUAUAAAUAUUGUGAAAGUAUUGUAUUAUUGUCAGUUAUUGUAUUAGUUUUUCUGAUAGUGUGAUGACGGACAUUUGUAUUAAGUGUUUGGAUCUGGUACUAAACUCUAACUCAGGCAAGUUAUGAAAAUUAAAUCUGGCAUUAGGCCUAAUAUGUAUGUCAGUGUUAUAUACUUAUUAAUAAUGCUUAUUGUGGGGUCAAAAAAAUCAUAGUGCUUAUUCAUGACACUUUGGCACAACCUCAACAUGUAUAUUAGCCUAGGCUCUAUUACAUAUACAGUAUAUAUAAUUCUACAGCAUUUUAUUUGUACUUUACUCUCAAAAAGUAAUGGGAUAUAUGGAUAUUUCUCAAGACUACAACAGCAGCUCCCUCUCCUGAGAACUGAAUCUGUCACAAACUUGGUGCUUAAUGCUUUAUUUUACAUAUACUGUGUAACUACUUUGAUUUCAGAUGUAAGUACGAUGAAAUGGGCUGUAAAAUAUAUUUACAUAGUGCAUAUGGUACUUAGUGACUUUGUUUCAUAGCACUUACUAGGUAAUUAAUGGUAAUUCAUGGGCUGUAAAAUAAAGCAGUACCAAAAGUUGUUCUUGUUGCAUACAUAUAUCUUUCAAAGCUGUUUAACCCACAAUGCAGAACUGCAGUUCCUAUAGUCCUGAGAAAUCUGUAAAAAUAUCAGAUUUACCAUGCUUUCUUUGUGUUGAACUGUGUGGUCAGAACUACCAGUCAUUGUGAUAUUGUUUUUAUUGUUUAGCGUAUUGCUGUAGGUAUAGGUAGGCUGUUGUAUUUUCCAGCUUCCAUUUUUCAGUCAUGGAUUUCAAGAUGGUGCAGUGGGUAGCACUGCCGCCUCACAGCAAGAAGGUCCUGGGUCCGAAUCCUGGUCGGCCGGGGCCUCUCUGUGUGGAGUUUGCUUGUUCUCCCCAUGUUUGUGUGGGUUUCUGUCAGGAGCCUGGUGGCUGGGCUGGAUUUGCCAGAGUUGGGUGGGGCUCGGUGUGCACAUGGAUCCACGCAUGUGACGUGCCGGCUGUCAGGUUUGGGAGUGUGACGCAGCUGUUUCCGGUUUGACUAAUGGAGUCAGGUUUAAAAGAAGCAGCUAAGGGGCAGACGCGAGAGAGACGCCGGGGUUGAAUGUUGGGUUCCGCGAACGGAAUUUUAAACUGGUCGAUUAUAUUUCAGUUUGUUGUGUUUGGGUUUCUUUUUCUUUUUCUUUUCCUUUUCCUGUUUUGGUUUCUCCUUUUUUGUUUAGGCUGUCUCCCGCAUUGGCAGUGGUUAGCUGGCUGACAGCCCCAGGAAAUUGUGGAUGCUACACGGGCGAUACUGUUCACAAGUGGGACCAGCGCUGGGCGAUUCCGGUGGAGCGGUGCGGUGCGGAGCCGGACUGGUGCCGUGGCAAAGAAGGCGCGACUUAGUGGAGGAAAGACGCAGUGGGACUACACUCACCCUGACGAGGGCGGAGGAAACUGUGAGUCUUCCACGCGGCGGAAAAGCAACGAGCGGACCAGGACCGGAGCCAGCACAAGCUCACUCACCAUUGGAGGAACAGCGAGGACGCUGAGGGCGGACAGUGAGGCAGUUCCAGCGUGUAGUGGACAGCAGAGUGGUUUGGGGCGCAGUCCAGCGGCCCAGAGACUUUAAUGCGCAGUGGGAGACAACCGAUUGGUUAAGGGUUGGGUUUUCUUUGUUUUGUGUUUUUUUUGUUUUGGGAUGUAGAGGCCCAGCACAGUGGUGGGGGCCAACUACAUCCCUUCUUUAAUGAUUAUUUGUUGUGUUGUCGGUGUGUGUGGAAGUGAAAGGUGUGAGUGCGUGUGUGAGACCCCGCCCAUGACUUCCCCUUUGAGUGGGGUUUCUUUCCCCCCCUCCUGGGCGUGGGCUGGGUGGCAGGGGGGCCCUGGGUGGGGGACACUGGAGUGCUGUUUGGUCACUGGGGAGUUUAGCCGUGAUUGCCUUUGUGUGUUGUGUGACGGGUUUACGCUCUACCUGUGCCGGGCGCUGGGUACGGGAGGGGGGGAGAAGUGUUGGUGUAGGAGUAGUGGGGAAGUCGAAAGGACAAAUGGGUUGGUGCGAGUUGUGGCGUGCUCUGUGUUUUUUGAAUAACAAAAAUAAAGCUUUUUGCCCUUUAUCUGCUUCGUCCUGAGCUCCUUGUGGUGGGUGGGUUCUGCAUAAGAACAAUAGGAACCCGUGGAGGGGGCGGGAGUCCACUGGUGCUUUUCCUGCUCCCGACAUUUCCUCCGGGUACUCCGGUUUCCAAAGAUAUGCAAGUUAGACUGAUUUGCCUGUAGGUAUGAGUGUGUGAGUGAAUGGUGUGUGUGCCCUGCGAUGGACUGGCAGCCUGUCCAGGGUGUAUUCCUGCCUUUCGCCCAAUGUAUGCGGGGAUAGGCUCCAGCCCCCCUGCAACCCUGUUCAGGAUAAGCGGGUUCGGAUAAUGAAUGAAUGAAUGAAUGAAUGAAUGUAUGAAUUUGAAGUCAAAAGUAAUCAUUCUUGUGAUUUCAUGAUAUAUAG